rnacentral:lncRNA from 1 species
AGACUCAGAGGUAAGAGGGUUACACAGGGGACAGCCAUUUCAGGCAGGUCACAGGGAUAUUGGUUAGAGCCGACAGUACUAACCCUGUUUGUUCAGUUGUGCUUUCCCGACUGCAAGGAAAUACAUGCUGCUUCUACACUUCGGGCACCAACCAGCCACAAAAAAAUACAUAUAUAUUCCAUGCGGCACCUGAAUUUCUUUGCUGACCUUUACAGUGGUUUAAUAAAUCAAUGGGAGGAAUGUAAGCUUUAAUGUUUGCAAAGGUAGAGGAUAAGCAUUUCUGUCUGCAAGAGACAAAGCCCCGAGUCUGGCUCUUUCACAGCCAUGCUGGAUGCUGUCCAGGGCAGGAGUUCAGUUUCUCGCCAGUACUUCACUGCUGCAUGAAUGCAGCAAAGGCUGCAGAAUUGCAUAUGGGCGGAUCCCUGGAUUCCUACAGUAAAGCAGGCAGGCUUCUGAAGCCAGGAUAUGUAACGCCGGUGUAUGGGAUGCCCCAGCUCAAGCUGCUGCUCCAACAGGACAGUCCUACACUACAGGUUUUGAUCCAGGCCAAAAGGGGUACGAUUGAUUCUGCAGUGCUCAGAUUCUGGAUGCAGUAUGAGGGGACAUCGUUCCUCUGCAGAUGU